rnacentral:rRNA from 1 species
AGGGUUUGAUCCUGGCUCAGAACGAACGCUGGCGGCGUGGAUUAGGCAUGCAAGUCGAACGAGAAAGCUCCCUUCGGGGGGUGAGUAAAGUGGCGAAAGGGUGAGUAAUGCGUAGAUAACCUACCCUCGAACCCGGGAUAACAGUCCGAAAGGGCUGCUAAUACCGGAUGGCGCCCGGGUGACUUCGGUCGCUCGAGCUAAAGCUGGGGACCUUCGGGCCUGGCGAUCGAGGAGGGGUCUACGUCCUAUUAGCUUGUUGGUGGGGUAACGGCCUACCAAGGUGACGAUGGGUAGCCGGCCUGAGAGGGUGUCCGGCCACACUGGGACUGAGACACUGCCCAGACUCCUACGGGAGGCUGUAGUCGAGAAUCUUCCGCAAUGGGCGAAAGCCUGACGGAGCGACGCCGCGUGGACGAUGAAGGCCUUCGGGUUGUAAAGUCCUUUCGCGCAGGAGGAAAACCAAGGUGCUAAUAACAUCUUGUUUGACGUUACUGUGUAAAGAAGCUCCGGCUAACUUCGUGCCAGCAGCCGCGGUAAGACGAAGGGAGCGAGCGUUGUUCGGAAUCACUGGGCAUAAAGGGCACGCAGGCGGCCUGGUAAGUUGGAUGUGAAAUCCCCUGGCUCACCCAGGGAACUGCAUUCAAUACUGCCGGGCUUGAGGUCGGGAGGGGAGAGUGGAACUCCUAGUGUAGCGGUGAAAUGCGUAGAUAUUAGGAGGAACGCCGGUGGCGAAAGCGACUCUCUGGCCCGAUUCUGACGCUGAGGUGCGAAAGCUAGGGGAGCGAACGGGAUUAGAUACCCCGGUAGUCCUAGCCCUAAACGAUGAGCACUAAGUAGGGGUGGUUCCGAUGCCGUCCCUGCUGUAGCUAAUGUAUUAAGUGCUCCGCCUGGGGAGUACGGUCGCAAGGCUAAAACUCAAAGGAAUUGACGGGGGCUCACACAAGCGGUGGAGCAUGUGGUUUAAUUCGAAUUCAACGCGAAGAACCUUACCCGGGUUUGACAUGCACGGAUUAGCUCCCUGAAAGGGGAGUGACGGGGUAAAACUUGGAACGUGCACAGGUGUUGCAUGGCUGUCGUCAGCUCGUGUCGUGAGAUGUUGGGUUAAGUCCCCUAACGAGCGAAACCCUUGCGUUCAGUUGCCAGCGGGUAAUGCCGGGGACUCUGGACGGACUGCCCUCGUUAAGAGGGAGGAAGGUGGGGAUGACGUCAAGUCAUCAUGGCCCUUACGCCCGGGGCGACACACGUGCUACAAUGGUCGGUACAAAGGGUUGCGAGGUCGCGAGGCCAAGCCAAUCCCAAAAAGCCGGCCCCAGUUCGGAUUGGAGGCUGCAAUUCGCCUCCAUGAAGUCGGAAUCGCUAGUAAUCGCGGAUCAGCCACGCCGCGGUGAAUAUGUUCCUGAGCCUUGUACACACCGCCCGUCAAGCCACGAAAGCUGGUAGUACCCGAAGUCGUUUGCCUAACCGCAAGGAGGGCGGCGCCGACGGUAAGACUGGUGAUUGGGACUAAGUCGUAACAAGGUA